UGUCUUUCUUACAGGAAUACAGGCUUACUUCCCACCUGAACUCUUCACCUGUGGCAAAUUCCACGCCGUCUCUACAAAUGUCUGGACUCUAGGUGUGCUGUUGUAUGAGAUGGUGAACACAUGUUCUCCAUUUUGCAAUAUAACGGAAAUCACGAAAGCCAAAAUUAGGUUUGAAAACCCAGAUUUAUCCAAAGAAUGCCGUGAUCUGAUUGUCCAGUGCCUAAACCGUGAUCCAGCUGAACGGCUGACCCUCGAGCAGAUCUUGCAGCAUGACUGGUGUAAAACAGUGGAUCUAAAACGAAGAGAGUCAGAGGAUUGAAACGUCAUUGGUUUCAGAGUUGAGACCGUGACAGACACUACAUUUGUGCUGUCAUCUUCAAUUCUGAAUCAUAUAUGAUGUAAAUUUAAAAUAUGAUCAGUGAAGGUUGGACACACCUUCCAGUGAAAAAGCAUAUGAAUUCACAUGCUGAUGGAAACUGGAAACUCAAGCCCUCAUGUAAGCCCUCUUCUAAAGAAUUAGAGAGCUCGGAGCACCCCGUAAUUCAGAGCCUGUCCACAUUCUUACGGGCCCGUCUGAAAAUGAGCAUCGAUAGUUCUAGUCCUCAGAGCCGUAUGUGCUUUGUUUUAAAGGCUUGGUUUUGGCUUUGUUAAAGCGUAGUUUUAGCUUUGUUUUAAAAGCAUAGUUUCGGCUUUGUUUUAAAAGCAUAGUUUUAGGUUUGUUUUAAAAGUGAAGUUAUGCUGUUUUAAAAGGAAUAUAUCAUUAGGAAGCAAUAAA